UGGGGAAUAUUGGACAAUGGGCGCAAGCCUGAUCCAGCCAUACCGCGUGGGUGAAGAAGGCCUUCGGGUUGUAAAGCCCUUUUGUUGGGAAAGAAAUCCAGCUGGUUAAUACCCGGUUGGGAUGACGGUACCCAAAGAAUAAGCACCGGCUAACUUCGUGCCAGCAGCCGCGGUAAUACGAAGGGUGCAAGCGUUACUCGGAAUUACUGGGCGUAAAGCGUGCGUAGGUGGUCGUUUAAGUCCGUUGUGAAAGCCCUGGGCUCAACCUGGGAACUGCAGUGGAUACUGGGCGACUAGAGUGUGGUAGAGGGUAGCGGAAUUCCUGGUGUAGCAGUGAAAUGCGUAGAGAUCAGGAGGAACAUCCAUGGCGAAGGCAGCUACCUGGACCAACACUGACACUGAGGCACGAAAGCGUGGGGAGCAAACAGGAUUAGAUACCCUGGUAGUCCACGCCCUAAACGAUGCGAACUGGAUGUUGGGUGCAAUUUGGCACGCAGUAUCGAAGCUAACGCGUUAAGUUCGCCGCCUGGGAGUACGGUCGCAAGACUGAAA
rnacentral:rRNA from 1 species